rnacentral:rRNA from 1 species
CACGUAGGGGGCAAGCGUUGUCCGGAUUUAUUGGGCGUAAAGAGCUCGUAGGCGGUUCGGUAAGUUGGGUGUGAAACCUCCAGGCUCAACCUGGAGACGCCACCCGAUACUGCUGUGACUAGAGUCCGGUAGGGGAGCGUGGAAUUCCUGGUGUAGCGGUGAAAUGCGCAGAUAUCAGGAAGAACACCCGUGGCUAAGGCGGCUCUCUAGUACGGUACUGACGCUGAGACGCGAAAGCGUGGGGAGCGAACAGG